rnacentral:rRNA from 1 species
AGCAGCCGCGGUAAUUCCAGCUCCAAUAGCGUAUAUUAAAGUUGUUGCAGUUAAAAAAGCUCGUAGUUGAAUUUCGGGGUUCAUACGUUGGUCGGGCUUUUGGGUCUGUACUGGCGUAAUGGAUUCCUACCUUCUGAAUAACCGGCAUGCCAUUAAUUUGGUGCGCCGGGGAAGCAGGACUGUUACCUUGAAAAAAUUAGAGUGCUUAAAGCAGGCUAUCGCCUGAAUACAUUAGCAUGGAAUAAUGAAAUAGGACGGCAUGGUUCUAUUUUGUUGGUUUCUAGGAUCACCGUAAUGAUUAAUAGGGAUAGUUGGGGGCAUUAGUAUUCAAUUGUCAGAGGUGAAAUUCUUGGAUUUAUUGAAGACUAACUUCUGCGAAAGCAUUUGCCAAGGAUGUUUUCAUUAAUCAAGAACGAAAGUUAGGGGAUCGAAGACGAUCAGAUACCGUCGUAGUCUUAACCAUAAACU